AUCUCAGUAGAGUUCCCCUAACAUCAUCAGUUCAUUUAAUUAUCCUUACAUGAUCAUCCAGUUUGAAGAGAAAUAGGAGUAAAGGAUACAUAAAGAUCAGACGUGAUGCUGGAAGCUAGAGUCAUUGUAAAGAAACAGAUGUUUAGAAACCAUUUCUCUCAGAAAUGGGACUUUGAAAUUUGAAAGCUGACAGGCAGAGUAUGCAUGGUCAACAUGGUUUUCAUGCAAAAGCCAUUUUGUUGAUUUUUGCAACACAAUAAAAUUGAAGGACUACAAAAACAAAAAGUGUUUUUUCUAUGAAAAGUUAAUGGCAAAUUCUUUGGUAGCUUUCCCCAACACCAAGUGAAGAUAAACAAUAUAGUACUUGAUGGAAGAGUGCAAUCUGUGAAAAAAGUAACGAUAGUAAUGUUAUUUACUGGAACAUCAAUCAUUACCCUGGAGGCUGUCUGUACUGCUGAGCUAACUCCAGGCAAAAGCUCAGUACUGUAUGCUGAGAACUGGCUGGGUGAUAACUACCAUUCAGCUAGAGAAGUGUUGCUAAUUCCCUGUGCUGAAAAUUUGCCCCCUGCUUAGUGUCCCUGUUAGGAUUUUCCAUUCCAAAGGCACAUGGAGCCUGAUCAUACUAGGUGUGGAACACCCACGACUCCCAUUCAGGAGCACACUUCCAGGAAGCAUGCAACUCCUCACAGGAUCAGGUCCUGAAAGAGUGAGUUUCCCAGAAGUCUGACUUCUCUUUCAAUGCAAGUUUGCCAGAGAAACCAAGAAAACUCAGCCAUGUAUAGCAGGAAUCAAUGUUGAAAGCCAGAGAGAAGAAGAAAAACAGCCAUGUCACCGGUGUGGAUUUUUUCUCGUUUCCUGAUCCUAAUAGAUGUCUUUGGAGACUGACGCUGCCUGAACAUUGCUGUUGAAUUGCCCAUAUUGCUUUGACAGUUCUUGACCUUUUUUAAUCCUUUACAUUUAACUUUAUUUACACUUCAUUUAAAUUUAAUACCUUUAGGCAACUGUGGGCACUCCUGCCCUAUUCUCUUUAGACUUUUUUGUUAUGUGUGAGGACUCUGUCUCUGGUUGUCACCAGUCUCCCUGUUUCAAAGAGACUUCAAGAGUAUCACUAGUUCUGACUUCAGUCACAGUCGUUCAUAUUAGCCAGAGUCUGGAAAAAUACAAAGUAGCUACAGCCAAUGUAGCCUGCGUAGACCUAUGUAUAUUUUUACAGCUUUUCUUUUUAAUGCACUGCAAAGCUUGGCUAAUCACCCUUCUCAUAGACUAGAUAUGAAUAAAACAUCCUGAUUGAACUCGGCUAGGUGAAGUACUCCCAGAUGCAUUCCGUGACCUGUUUCAUG